rnacentral:rRNA from 1 species
UACGUAGGGUGCAAGCGUUGUCCGGAAUUAUUGGGCGUAAAGAGCUCGUAGGCGGUCUGUUGCGUCGGCUGUGAAAACCCGGGGCUCAACUCCGGGCCUGCAGUCGAUACGGGCGGACUGGAGUUCGGCAGGGGAGACUGGAAUUCCUGGUGUAGCGGUGAAAUGCGCAGAUAUCAGGAGGAACACCGGUGGCGAAGGCGGGUCUCUGGGCCGAUACUGACGCUGAGGAGCGAAAGCAUGGGUAGCGAACAGG